UAGGGAAUCUUCCACAAUGGACGAAAGUCUGAUGGAGCAAUGCCGCGUGAGUGAAGAAGGGUUUCGGCUCGUAAAACUCUGUUGUUAGAGAAGAACGGGCGUGAGAGUAACUGCUCACGUCGCGACGGUAUCUAACCAGAAAGUCACGGCUAACUACGUGCCAGCAGCCGCGGUAAUACGUAGGUGGCAAGCGUUGUCCGGAUUUAUUGGGCGUAAAGCGAGCGCAGGCGGUCUUCUAAGUCUGAUGUGAAAGCCUUCGGCUUAACCGGAGAAGUGCAUCGGAAACUGGGAAACUUGAGUGCAGAAGAGGACAGUGGAACUCCAUGUGUAGCGGUGAAAUGCGUAGAUAUAUGGAGGAACACCAGUGGCGAAGGCGGCUGUCUAGUCUGUAACUGACGCUGAGGCUCGAAAGCAUGGGUAGCAAACAGG
rnacentral:rRNA from 1 species